rnacentral:lncRNA from 1 species
GAAAUUCCUUUUGACAGAAAAUUUCGAUGUUUUGACUUCAAAGCCCAUCUUGGGGAGGAGGAAUCACUCAUUGUGGUACGGUAUGGUAGUUUUUGCACACACAGUAUCAUUUCACGACUUUGCGCUAUUAUGGUUAGACUGAAUUUGUUUUAUGUUUAUCGAACUAUAAGAGCUUACGUGCAACUUUAUGACAAUCCUCAUGUUUGAUCCGUGCAGUAAAUAUGGUCUGACCACUUAGACAGGAUGCUUGGUAGGUUUCCUCAUAUCUUA